AGAAAGCAGUAGCCACGGUAAUACGAAGGGUGCAAGCGUUACUCGGAAUUACUGGGCGUAAAGCGUGCGUAGGUGGUGGUUUAAGUCCGUUGUGAAAGCCCUGGGCUCAACCUGGGAAUUGCAGUGGAUACUGGGUCACUAGAGUGUGGUAGAGGAUAGUGGAAUUUCCGGUGUAGCAGUGAAAUGCGUAGAGAUCGGAAGGAACAUCUGUGGCGAAGGCGACUAUCUGGGCCAACACUGACACUGAGGCACGAAAGCGUGGGGAGCAAACAGGAUUAGAUACCCCUGUAGUCCCUGUCUCUUAUAC
rnacentral:rRNA from 1 species